rnacentral:rRNA from 1 species
UAAGCACGACUCCCGGCAAUGGAUAUCUCGGCUCUCGCAUCGAUGAAGAACGUAGCGAAAUGCGAUACUUGGUGUGAAUUGCAGAAUCCCGUGAACCAUCGAGUCUUUGAACGCAAGUUGUGCCCAAAGCCGUGAGGUUGAGGGCACGUCUGCCUGGGUGUCACAC